rnacentral:rRNA from 1 species
UACGUAGGGCGCAAGCGUUGUCCGGAAUUAUUGGGCGUAAAGAGCUCGUAGGCGGCCUGUUACGUCUGCUGUGAAAUCCCGGGGCUUAACCCCGGGCGUGCAGUGGAUACGGGCAGGCUGGAGGCAGGCAGGGGAGAACGGAAUUCCCGGUGUAGCGGUGAAAUGCGCAGAUAUCGGGAGGAACACCGGUGGCGAAGGCGGUUCUCUGGGCCUGUACUGACGCUGAGGCACGAAAGCGUGGGGAGCAAACAGG